UUAAUUACUAUAUUCAUCAUUCUUUUUGCUUCUCUUCCUUUUUGGCAGUGAAUAUGACUCAUGAUCCGUCUUAUCGAGAUCAUUGUUACCACGACAGUUUGACCUUACUGAUGAUCGACAAAAGGAGUCUACAACACGAAGAGCUUGUGUGUUUUGUUCAAACUCUUUCACUGUUGUAUUGUCGUGUGUUCUUCCUAUUUGCCUUUGGCAACCGAAGAAUUUUUCCAAAGGAUCUUGGCAGAUGUUUCGACUGAAGAAAACUGUGACUCCUGGUACGGUGAAAAGAUAUUUGGAAAUAAAAUGAAAGUGUUGUGUAUCAAUUCCUAUUAAGUUACCCAGAGACUCCUUGAACGAGAUGCCCAGCAAUUACGAGUUGUUUUCAAUAAGUGAGGGGGGUCUGAGAAAAAGAAGAAACUUCUAUCAUCAUCAACAACAAAAGGGUUGGAUGUUUUGUGAACUAAUUUGCUUUUGGGGUUAUGCAAUCGAACUAGUCUCCUAUUAAUUGAUGCACCAUCAGAUGUAACACCCAUUACCUAUAAAAGAUUCCCAUAGUGGAUCAAACAACAUGUAUCCGGAGACUUUCCUACUGGGAAAGUAGGCGUAAGGAAACUCCAGGUGUGAAAAGAGCCCUCUGACCAUAAAUGUCAUCAUGGAAUUGGCUAGUAACUCAGGUGGGAAAGUAUGGUCCUCUGAAGUCUCCUCCAAUGACUCUAACUGAUGAAGGACAUCGCCCAAGUGUGUGAAUCCAACAAGUCAGCCUUGCUGCGUGACAUAUCUGAGAAUCGACUUCAUUGGAGAAUCCUGGUUGUGCCUUGAUGUGAUGGGUAUAGUCACGCAGAGU